CCUGACGACCAUAGCGACUUGGUCCCACUCCUUCCCAUCCCGAACAGGACAGUGAAACGAGUCAGCGCCGAUGAUAGUGCGGAUUCCCGUGUGAAAGUAGGUCAUCGUCAGGCUAUUUAUUAAGCAGAACGCCCCAGUAUCGAAAGAUAUUGGGGCGUUUGUGCUUUCGGG
rnacentral:rRNA from 1 species